GCGUAAAGCGCACGCAGGCGGUUUGUUAAGUCAGAUGUGAAAUCCCCGGGCUCAACCUGGGAACUGCAUCUGAUACUGGCAAGCUUGAGUCUCGUAGAGGGGGGUAGAAUUCCAGGUGUAGCGGUGAAAUGCGUAGAGAUCUGGAGGAAUACCGGUGGCGAAGGCGGCCCCCUGGACGAAGACUGACGCUCAGGUGCGAAAGCGUGGGGAGCAAACAGGAUUAGAUACCCUGGUAGUCCACGCCGUAAACGAUGUCGACUUGGAGGUUGUGCCCUUGAGGCGUGGCUUCCGGAGCUAACGCGUUAAGUCGACCGCCUGGGGAGUACGGCCGCAAGGUUAAAACUCAAAUGAAUUGACGGGGGCCCGCACAAGCGGUGGAGCAUGUGGUUUAAUUCGAUGCAACGCGAAGAACCUUACCUGGUCUUGACAUCCUCAGAAUCCUGUAGA
rnacentral:rRNA from 1 species